UCUUAAACCCCAUGUCGAUGGGU
rnacentral:snRNA from 1 species